rnacentral:misc_RNA from 1 species
GAUGAGAACGUAGCGAAAUGCGAUAAGUAAUGUGAAUUGCAGAAUUCAGUGAAUCAUCGAAUCUUUGAACGCACAUUGCGCCCGCCAGUAUUCUGGCGGGCAUGCCUGUUCGAGCGUCAUUACAACCCUCAGGCCCCCGGGCCUGGCGUUGGGGAUCGGCGGAGCCCCCCGUGGGCACACGCCGUCCCCCAAAUGCAGUGGCGGUCCCGCCGCAGCUUCCAUCGCGUAGUAGCUAACACCUCGCGACUGGAGAGCGGCGCGGCCACGCCGUAAAACACCCAACUCUUCUGAAGUUGACCUCGAAUCAGGUAGGAAUACCCGCUGAACUUAAGCAUAUCAAUAAGCGGAGGA